rnacentral:lncRNA from 1 species
CCGGCCAUAGCAAGAACAAAGGAAGAAAAGAAGAACAAAAACCCUAGAGUGAAAUUUCAAGAGAAAAUUGAUGGAUUUCAAGUAGUCAUGACAUAAAAUGUGAAAUUUCUUAACUCUAGCUUGUGAUCUAUCUUUCCUAUGCAUUCUUUUGCAUUCUCCAUGGUUGAAUCACAAAAUAUCAUGAAGGAUUCAUGGCUGACCGAAUUU